CGCCUGUUUAUUAAAAACAUGGUUUUUAAUAUUUAUAUUAAAAAUUUAACCUGCCCAUUGAAUUAUUUAAUUUAAAAGGCCGCAGUAUUUUGACUGUGCUAAGGUAGCAUAAUCAAUAGGUUUUUAAUUGAAAUCUAGAAUGAAUGGUUUAAUGAAAUAUAAUCUUUUUUAUUUUUAAUAAUUGAAAUUUAAAUUUUAGUUAAAAUGCUAAUUUAUUUAAAUGGGACGAGAAGACCCUAUAGAAUUUUAUAAUUUUAUUAAUAGAAUUAUAAUUUUAAGUUUUAUUUUUAUUAUUAAUUUAUUUUAUUGGGGAGAUUUUUAUAUUUAAUUAACUUUAAUUAAUUAUAUUCAUUUAUUAAUGUUUUUAUGAUCUUUUAUUAUUGAUUAAUAAAUUAAAUUACCUUAGGGAUAACAGCAUAAUGAUUUUAAAAAGUUCUUAUUUUUAAAAUAGUUUAUGACCUCGAUGUUGGAUUAAAAUUAUUAUUAUAUGAAGAAAUAUAAAUAAAUAAG
rnacentral:rRNA from 1 species